ncrna:Salinispora pacifica CNS237 L31-Actinobacteria ribosomal protein leader
CCGGUUCCGGUUCACGCCCGAUCCGUCGUACACCCGCGGCCGGGCGACCCGGCGACC